rnacentral:rRNA from 1 species
UACGUAGGGGGCGAGCGUUGUCCGGAGUUACUGGGCGUAAAGCGCUUGUAGGCGGUCCACCAAGUUUGGGGUGACAGUUGCCGACUUAAUCGGCAAAGUGCCUCAAAGACUGGCGGACUUGAGGGCCACAGAGGGACAUGGAACUCCAGGUGUAGUGGUGAAAUGCGUAGAUAUCUGGAAGAACACCAAAGGCGAAGGCAGCAUCCUGGGAAGUUCCUGACGCUCGGGUGCGAAAGCCAGGGGAGCGAACGGG